ACUUCAUUCUUGACCCCUUAUGUGCAGUUCAACAUGUACGGAUGUCAAAUGCUCAUCUAUGCUCGUAUUAUCAACUAUUUAAGGAGUUCUUUUUCAUGUAAUACGAACCCCACUUUGAAGAAAGCCUCGAUAAGCUACUUUCUUAUCAGUGAUAUGACUUAAUUUUCAUUGUUUUAUGCUGUUUUGGAAAUGGGAUGGAUAAAUACACUGUGUUGCAUGGUCAUCUUUUUAAUCAAAGGUAACAACGGACUCCUAUGUUACUCAUGUAAAGAUGUGUCGAAAAAUGAAACAUGUCUAAAUGUGACACAAUGUCCCACUGCAGAGGUAU